UACGAAGGGGGCUAGCGUUGCUCGGAAUCACUGGGCGUAAAGGGUGCGUAGGCGGGUCUUUAAGUCAGGGGUGAAAUCCUGGAGCUCAACUCCAGAACUGCCUUUGAUACUGAAGAUCUUGAGUCCGGGAGAGGUGAGUGGAAUUCCCAGUGUAGCGGUGAAAUGCGUAGAUAUUGGGAGGAACACCAGUGGCGAAGGCGGCUCACUGGACCGGAACUGACGCUGAGGCGCGAAAGCGUGGGGAGCAAACAGG
rnacentral:rRNA from 1 species